CGCUGCAGCCCGUGAGGGCGUUUCCUCCCUAGACUUCGGGCCGCUCUUUGGGGCGGCCCCUUUUUGUCCGGGUC
rnacentral:sRNA from 1 species